rnacentral:lncRNA from 1 species
GUAAUACCCGGCUAGACUCCGGUAUCGAAAUUCCUACCGUCCGGUGGAAUCUCGGAUGUCGGAAGCCUCUAGUAGGGUAGAAUCAUGUUUUCAUAAAAUGUUUUAAGGUAUUUCAUGGUUUUAAGUAAAGUGGAAAUGAGUUUUUGCAUGAAAACAACCUUGAAGGAAAACUCAGGUUCGGCCGCCGAACCUCAAGUUCGGCCGCCGAACAUGCAUGCCUUCGAGAGCGC